rnacentral:lncRNA from 1 species
GGCAACCCGCUUGAGUCCUGUUCCACGCUGUGGAAACUUUGUUUUUUUUUCUUUGCAAUAAAUCUUGCCACUGGCUCACGGUUUGGGUGAGGCACUGCAUUUAUGAGCUAUGACACUCACUGGAAAGGUCUGCAGGUUCACUCCUGAAGUCAGUGAGACCACAAACCCACCGGGAGGAACGAACAAUCUUGGACGCGCCGCCUUUAAGAGCUGUAAGACUCACUGCGAAGGUCUGCGGCUUCACUUCUGAAGUCAGGAAGACCACGAACCCACCAGAAGGAAGAAACUCUGGACACAUCUUAACAUCUGAAGGAACAAACUCUGGACACACCGUCUUUAAGAAUUGUAACACUUGCUGUGAGAGUCUGCAGCUUCAUUCUUGAAGUCAGGGAGACCAAGAACCCACCAGAAGGAACCAGUUCCGGACGCACUUCCAGCCAGAUGAGUGGCUCUGCAGACUUCCAAAGGAGCCGCUUUCUGUGCAAGUUGGACCAAGUCUGUUUCUCCUGUCCAUGAGGAUAAGGGUCCUGGAUAUCCUAGGUCGCCUGGUGGAGGGGCCCUCGGGAAUCCAACGAUCACCACUGCAAGUCAGCCUCAGCACCAGCACUCAGAUGCAGGGGUGGCUGGCCUCAGGCUUCCUCAGCCCAGGUGCAUGGCCUCUCGCUCAGCUCUUUGUGGCUCAGUCAUUCAUCACUCUGAUCAAACUCAUCUUGACAAAGGACAAAGCAAUACCUUCGAUCCUGCUUUUUAGCAGCCAUCCUGGCAGCCUGUGACUGCUCAGCCUCCCAAAGGCAGGACCAGGUCCAGGACCCACCCGAAUUCCUGGACAGAGCUCGACUGUCAGCUUGAGGCUUCCUGGGCUGGGCCAAAUGCAAAGAAACCCAGGGGUCCUCUGCAUCCUGAGCCUGGCGCCAACCUGCAGUAGCAACAUGAGUGAGGCCCAGGAGCCUGCCAGGACUGGGUUUACGCCCCAGAGCCGCCACUCACUACUCAUCAGCUGGACAAAGAGCUUCUCUGAGUUUCAGUUUCCAGAUCUGCAAAAUAGGUGUAACAAUCCCUGUGUCUGAGCAUCUGCAGGGAGAUCAAAUUCUCGUCUCUGGAACAUGACAGCUUCCAAAUCUGAGCCAUCCUGUCACUUCUCUUGGGUCAAUUGGGGUUUCCACGAUGUCACCCCAUCAGACUGUCACUAACAUGGCCUGAGAGCCCUGGGCUCGGGGACUGCCAGCAUGGUAGGUUUCCCUCCCCGUACUCCUGCCGUUACUUCCCUGAUGAGACCAUCCCCCAGAGAAGGGAAAGGAGGGCAGUUUCGUUCAUUUAGUGCAGAGCCUGGGAGGUGGGAGGAGCCUGGGCUAGCUUCAUUUUUUUGAGGUUCUUGGUAUGCUACAGAUGAGAAGGUUGCAGUGAUUGUGGUAUAAUUUCAGUGUUCUCACAACAAAUUAGAACACAGCAUACUUGUGGUGUUGACAGGACAACUGCAGAACUCAGUACAUUUCCUGGGGAGUUCUGAGUGGUGCAGUCUUAGGGCAGGAUACAAGCUUUGGGUCUCAGGAUGGCUGUCCACUUCUGCUGGAUCUGGGGUGCACCCUUACAGUCUGAAUUUCUAGAAAAAGGCAUAAUCAAACCCCCUGCAGAACUUUCACGGGAUCCCAUUCAAAUAAAACAGGGUGGAGGGACACGUUGAGAUGUUUGGAAAUAUCUGAAUAAGGGUGGGAUAUGGGGUUAUUUUAGGGAAUUCAUUGUUCAUAGGGAAUUCACUGUUCAUUGUCCCAGCCGUGAUAGCAUGGAAGAACAGCCCAAAGGGUCAUAAGAUAGUUCAGGAAAGAGCUUUACAAGUCAAAGUGACAGAGCAGCAGGUCCCCAACACUUUUGACACCAGGGACCAGGUUUAGUGGAAGACAAUUUCUCCAUGGACUGGAAUCAGGCUGGGGGUGGUUUUGAGAUGAUUCAAGCACAUUACAUUUAUUGUGCACUUUAAUUCUAUUAUUAUUAACUUGUAAUAUAUAAUGAAAUAUUAUACAACUCACCAUAAUGUAGAUCAGUGGGAGCCCUGAGCUUGUUUUCCUGCAACUAGACAGUCCCAUCUGGAGGUGAUGGAAGACAGUGACAGAUCAUCAGGCAUUAGAUUCUCAUAAGGAGCACGGAACCUAGAUCCCUCGCACACACAGUUCACGGUACGGCUCACGCUCCUAUGAGAAUUCAGUGCUGCUGCUGAUGUGACAGGAGGUGGAGCUUAGGUGGUAACGUGAGCAAUGGGGAGCAGCUGUAAAUACAGAUGAGGCUUCACUCGCUCACCAGCCUGCUCCGUGAGGUUGGGGACCCGUCAGAUACAGCAUUUAUGACCACAUGAUAACCACAGCUGAAUCCAGGUGGUGGGAUACACAGCUGCUUCAUUGUACCAAUCUCAACUUUUUCAUGUAUUUGAAAUUUUUCAUUAGAAGAGAGUAAAUUUUUUGGAUUGCUA